rnacentral:rRNA from 1 species
CUACGGGGGGCUGCAGUGAGGAAUUUUGCGCAAUGGGGGAAACCCUGACGCAGCAACGCCGCGUGAGCGAAGAAGGCCCUCGGGUCGUAAAGCUCUGUCAAGUGGGAAAAAAAUUUUUUGGUCAAUAGUCAAAAGACUUGAUGGUACCACUGGAGGAAGCACCGGCUAAGUCCGUGCCAGCAGCCGCGGUAAUACGGAGGGUGCGAGCGUUGUUCGGAUUUACUGGGCGUAAAGAGCGUGUAGGCGGUUUAGCAAGUCAGAUGUGAAAGCCCUGGGCUCAACCCGGGAAGUGCAUUUGAAACUGCUUCACUAGAGUAUGGGAGAGGAGAUUGGAAUUCCUGGUGUAGAGGUGAAAUUCGUAGAUAUCAGGAGGAACACCCGUGGCGAAGGCGAUUCUCUGGACCAAUACUGACGCUGAGACGCGAAAGCGUGGGGAGCAAACAGGAUUAGAUACCCCUGUAGUC